AGUAAACAAGAUUAUACCCAUCUCAGUAUCGAGAAUCCCUGCAGCAGCAGUCCCUGUUUCAACAAUGGCACAUGUCAAGCUGGAUACACUUAUAAAGGAUUUCGUUGUAAAUGUCCUCUAGGAUUCACUGGUAUAUACUGCAAGAAAGCGUGCAGCUUUGACUUUGAAGAUGGAAUCGGUGGGUGGAAAAUGACAGGAACAGCUUUCAUUUACCAGCCAACAUUUGGU